AACGAACGCUGGCGGCAGGCUUAACACAUGCAAGUCGAACGCCCCGCAAGGGGAGUGGCAGACGGGUGCGUAACGCGUGGGAACAUACCCUUUUCUACGGAAUAGCUCUGGGAAACUGGAAUUAAUACCGUAUACGCCCUACGGGGGAAAGAUUUAUCGGGGAAGGAUUGGCCCGCGUUGGAUUAGCUAGUUGGUGGGGUAAAGGCCUACCAAGGCGACGAUCCAUAGCUGGUCUGAGAGGAUGAUCAGCCACAUUGGGACUGAGACACGGCCCAAACUCCUACGGGAGGCAGCAGUGGGGAAAUUUGGACAAUGGGCGCAAGCCUGAUCCAGCCAUGCCGCGUGAGUGAUGAAGGCCUUAGGGUUGUAAAGCUCUUUCACCGAUGAAGAUAAUGACGGUAGUCGGAGAAGAAGCCCCGGCUAACUUCGUG
rnacentral:rRNA from 1 species